rnacentral:ncRNA from 1 species
GUAAAUGUAAUGAUGGGAAGAGUAGGUAUAUGGAUUUAGUUACAGAGAGCCGGGAGAUAUGUAGUUUUAUAUCUAUAGGUGAAAGCCGGUACUGAAAAGUAUACUGAAUAUGGCCCCUGAACUAUCUGGCUGAAAAACAAGUAGGUCAGGUCGGAUUUGCAUCCGUUAAAAAUGCAAGGUGAUACUUAGUCACUUACUGAGAUUAUUGUGGUAACAUAAUAAUGAAUUAGGGUGGUAACGCGAGAUAUCCUCGUCCCUUUU